UGACUAUCUAGCCAUUUAGCUAAAUCACUAUUAUUGAAAUUAUAUGUGACAAACUGAAAGCUAUUUUAGUAUAUUAUCACCUGAUGGAUGACUUCCGAAGCUAAGUUCUUUUCAAACUGGUACACAACACCCCACAGGUCACAAACACCAAACCCACUAGUCUGACGAGGUGGAACAAUGUGCCUGCUGACCCGCUGCCAUCACCAAAGAACGGUCAGUGCCUCAAAAACAACACUGAAAUGUCUUUGCUGAAUUUUCCCCACCACUUUCAGCAGUGACUUUAUGCGCAUCUUUACAUUAUGUUACCGUUAUGCUCAUAAGCUUGCAUAACCUGGCAGAAAUGUGUAUAUUAACUGGACAAAUGGUGCUUUAGUCAGUGGUAAUUAACCCCAGAGGUCAUGAUUGACAUUUUUAAAUAAUGUGAAUUCAGUGAAGGUGGGAGACUGGAGUGUGAUCAGAUCCAUUCAAGGACACAGACAUUCCCUUUCCUAAGCACACUGGAAGGUGAGAGGAGGCAGGGCCUCAACUCAAACUGGAUAUCAGAACAAAAGGGCCUUUUUUAACCAAAGUGAGAAUUGACAUUGAAAACUACUCAAAACAAGUCUCGACUACCACCAUGUGGCAAAAACCAAAAGGUGCACACUAGAAUUCAAGUUAGUAGAAAAGAAAUUGCCAAACAUGCACAUCAUUAAAUCAACAUCUGUAACCCUCCAGACAAGCAAACAUUUAUAAAGCAAAGAAAAUAGCAGUUACCUAGAAGAGUCACCAAAAUAAGCUACUUACUAUUAAAAUAAUUUAAGCCUCGGAGUCAAAUAAAUAGAAGUGUGUGGGACUGUCACAGGCAAACAUGUUAAGGUGUGUAAAUUAAUUUUAAUAAUGCAGUCGUUUUAAGCAUUUUGUCAAAUCAACAUUUCAAAAUUCACCAACCCUGUGCUGGUGAGAACGUUGCAAAUUAAUCAUCAUAAUUCAGUUUAAGCUGCCAGGCACUGUCUAUAGACCUUCUGGAAGUGUACAUGGUCUUACAAAAGAAAAUGACAUUGUGCCUAACAAACCAUACGUUCACAGCAGGUUUAUAUUUAGAAGGAACCCCACACCCCCACCACAGUUUGUUAAGGCUUCUCCUUUAAAGAGGAAUGAACAAUCUGUAAUCCAUAAUCCUUUAAACAUCUACUCAAAACAUCAGAUAACUUCUCUGCGGUGUCUGAAGUUGCACAAACAGGUGGUUCAGCAGGAAUUUUGACACUGACCACAGAAACUAUUGACAAAUCUGCUACAGCCCAUGUAUUUAGAUUUCACUAAGUGCUCUUAAAUUUGUUCCAUUUUUAAUUCAUGUUGUCACAUCAACACCUUGCUUCUCUCUUGGACCCU
ensembl:lncRNA